CGCUUUUGGCCCAGAUAACGCCAGUUAAGUCAAAAGAAUGAAAGAGCUUGCAGGCGAAAAAGUCUGUAUUCCACUCGUUUAAUGGCAGGUACACAGGAACGCGCUCCUCACAUGCAUGAGAGAUUGACUCUUUCUUAGCGUUACAAAUAAAAAUAAAGCAAUACUAUAACAAAAAUUGGAGAGCACAUACAUCUAUCGUGGUUCUCAUUACACAGUCACGUAGUUCUUCUACGUCAUCACCGCAUAGCGCACGUUAAGUGAAGUGAUCAGUCUCUUAAAGGGCACAGCACACCAUAAUGUGAUGCAUGUAAACACACAGUUUUGGCUGUUACAGAUUCCCCACUGGAAAGAAAAAGGCUCACACUCUGCAAAGACACAUCACAUAGAAAACAAAAGCUUGUGUAACCAAACCAUACGUGUAAAAUAACAGUUUCCUUUUCGUUUUUUUUUCAACAAGAUAACAUGAAAACACAUGAACUUA